CAAUAGCGUAUAUUUAAGUUGCUGCAGUUAAAAAGCUCGUAGUUGGAUUUCGGGUGGGAAUGGCCGGUCCGCCGUUUCGGUGUGCACUUGCUACGCCCACCUUGCUGCCGGGGACGUGCUCUUGAGUUCACGCUCGGGACACGGAGUCGGCGAGGUUACUUUGAGUAAAUUAGAGUGUUCAAAGCAGGCCUACGCUCUGAAUACAUUAGCAUGGAAUAACACGAUAGGACUCUGGCCUAUCUUGUUGGUCUGUAGGACCGGAGUAAUGAUUAAGAGGGACAGUCGGGGGCAUUCGUAUUUCAUUGUCAGAGGUGAAAUUCUUGGAUUUAUGAAAGACGAACUACUGCGAAAGCAUUUGCCAAGGUUGUUUUCAUUAA
rnacentral:rRNA from 1 species